UAGCUCAGUGGAAGAGCACUUACCUAGCAAGUAUAAGGCCCUGAGUUCAAUCCUCAG
rnacentral:tRNA from 1 species